rnacentral:tRNA from 1 species
GCUGCGGUAGCUCAGUGGUAGAGCACUCCCUUGGUAAGGGAGAGGUCGAGAGUUCAUCCUCUCUCGCAGCACCA